rnacentral:rRNA from 1 species
CAGCCGCCGCGGUAAUACGAAGGGUGCAAGUGUUACUCGGAAUUACUGGGCGUAAAGCGUGUGUAGGUGGUUGUUUAAGUCUGUCGUGAAAGCCCUGGGCUCAACCUGGGAAUUGCGAUGGAUACUGGGCGACUAGAGUGCGGUAGAGGAUAGUGGAAUUUCCGGUGUAGCAGUGAAAUGCGUAGAGAUCGGAAGGAACAUCUGUGGCGAAGGCGACUAUCUGGGACAACACUGACGCUGAGGCACGAAAGCGUGGGGAGCAAACAGGAUUAGAUACCCCUGUAGUCCCUGUCUCUUAUAC